GUGAUGUAUACUGUUUCCAAAUCUGCAUAUAUAUGUUGAUUGACAGUUUCUGUGUAUUUCUUUAGUGCCUUUUUUUGGAAUUCUCCCUCUUUAGUUUUAAAACAUAUUUACAUGUUAUGAAUCAAACUAAAAUUUCAUGCAAUAGUUUGAAACAUAAAGAUGUUGUAAAAAUACAUGAAAGAUGCUGCCAAUUUGUUUAGACUCAGCAAUUAUAUGUUUUUAAAAAUGUUUUUAUAAAACAUAAAGUGACUAGAAAUAAUAAUUGCCCUGUUCUGUUCAUUGCCUUUGAAGCAUUUCAUAUUGUCUGGAAGACAGACUGAGCUACAUUGACCAUUGGUCUGACCUAGUAUGGUUGUUCUAAUGGAAAUGUGUAUGUAAAAUUAAAAGCUUUUUUUUUUAAUUAAAAAACCCCUUUAAAAGUAGAUUUAAAAACCAUGUUGUAGGAUUAGGAAGCCAAAUAAUGUGAUUAUUGUGCUAACACAUGAAAAGCAGAAUAUGAAACUCGAUAGUUUCUCUGUUCCAGUUGAGUAAAAUGCAAAUAGCAAAUAAACAAGAUAUAUGAUGGAAAUAAAUUAGCUUACAUUUUCCAUUUCCUGUCACCGAAAUAUUACUAGUAACAGACUUUAAAAAAUAAUAAAACCAAACACACACAAUUUUUAUUCUGAUAGUCUCCUCUUAAAAGUAAGAAUUCAAAACUCUCAUUGUAAUGUACUGCCUGCCCUCUGUAGGAUGAAUAUGUGACUGCUACAAAAUUUAUCAGUUCUAGAUUAAUUGUUUUUUCUCAUAGCCAGUCUGAAAAGUGUACCCUUUAAAAUUACAUUAUUUUUGUAUAGCUAGUGGAAAGUAUCUCUUGUAUGUGGCAUCUGAUCAUUAUAGCGCCAAUUUUACAUUUAUAAAAGUAUUCUUAUUUGAGAGAACCCUCUACCCUGAAGCUAUUUUAUUGCUUGAGCUAAAUCAUUUUGCAAAAGCACUUCAACUUGCAUAUUCUGUUCUCAAAUUAAUUAUAUAAAAAUGUGUAUAGUUAGCUAUAAAAAUGUCAGGACAUUACAGAUAAAAUGUGAGAUUGUGCAGAGAUGUUCAUAAACCUUCUGACAUGGACAUAGUUAUUAAAUACAAGAAACAUGUUGAGGCCAAUUUUCAAAUUGGAAUUCAUUUUUUGGUCUUCGCCGUCCAUCUCUGUUUGUCAGGGCUGGAAAUGGGUGACAGGGGAGGAAUCACUUGAUGAUUACCUGUUCUGUUUAUUCCCUUUCGGGCACCUGGUAUUGGCCGCAGUUGGAAGACCAGAUGUUGGGCUAGAGUGACCUUUUUUCUGACUGAGUAUGGCUUCUCUUAUGUUCUAUCGAAAACAGCUUAACGAGCUAAAACCAAAAUUAUAUUGUUUUGUUGUUCUUACUUUUGAUUGUCCACUGAAUAAUACUUCUGAGCUUUGUAGGUACAGACACUGUUUGAGCCUGGGUAUUUUGGUUAUAUAUUUGUGAGGAUUUGGUAAUAUUUAUCCUUUCCAUGGAUCUAGUUUGUACAAAUUGAUAUGGCCUUGUCAGAAUUUUAAGUUUGCACAGUGACCCAAUGAAUUUUCUUGAAGAAGUUUGAGCUAUGUUGGGCAUUUUUAUGUACCAUAAGAUCUUCAGGCAGUCAACAGAAUUCUUUUUGAAAGGUUUUCCUGUCUUGUGGAUUGCUGAAUUAGAGUGCAGGGCAUGCAGACACCUAAAGUGGAGCACCCACUGGGACAACCGUCUCGAAGAACAUCUGUUACUGCACAGCUUUGAACAUACCGGAGGAAGGUGGAAGAGAGAUUUUUCACAUUAAUGUCAACUUAAUGUAUUGGACAGUUACUGGAACAAAUACAAAUAAAUGUUGAGUAGUUAAUUUACUAAUCAAUAUUGAAAUUGGCAUUUUAAAGUAUAAUGAGGCUGCUGUAGAUGCCAUCAGCCAAAGAGUUUGAAAAUGAAUCACUUACAAGCAUCAUGAUUCAAAAAUGUGUUACUAAGGGUGCAUUGGCCAAUUAAAGGACACUGAAAUAA